rnacentral:rRNA from 1 species
UUAUACCGUGAAACUGCGAAUGGCUCAUUAAAUCAGUUAUCGUUUAUUUGAUAAUACCUUACUACUUGGAUAACCGUGGUAAUUCUAGAGCUAAUACAUGCUGAAAAUCCCGACUUCGGAAGGGAUGUGUUUAUUAGAUAAAAAACCAAUGCCCUUCGGGGCUCCUUGGUGAUUCAUAAUAACUUUACGGAUCGCAUAGCCUUGCGCUGGCGACGGUUCAUUCAAAUUUCUGCCCUAUCAACUUUCGAUGGUAAGGUAUUGGCUUACCAUGGUUUCAACGGGUAACGGGGAAUUAGGGUUCGAUUCCGGAGAGGGAGCCUGAGAAACGGCUACCACAUCCAAGGAAGGCAGCAGGCGCGCAAAUUACCCAAUCCCGAUUCGGGGAGGUAGUGACAAUAAAUACUGAUACAGGGCUCUUUUGGGUCUUGUAAUUGGAAUGAGUACAAUUUAAACCUCUUAACGAGGAACAAUUGGAGGGCAAGUCUGGUGCCAGCAGCCGCGGUAAUUCCAGCUCCAAUAGCGUAUAUUAAAGUUGUUGCAGUUAAAAAGCUCGUAGUUGAAACUUGGGUCUGGCUGGCGGGUCCGCCUCACCGCGUGCACUCGACUGGCUGGGCCUUCCUUCUGAAGAACCUCAUGCCCUUUACUGGGCGUGUUGGGGAAUCAGGACUUUUACUUUGAAAAAAUUAGAGUGUUCAAAGCAGGCCUUUGCUCGAAUACGUUAGCAUGGAAUAAUAAAAUAGGGCGUGCGUUUCUAUUUUGUUGGUUUCUAGAGACGCCGCAAUGAUUAACAGGAACAGUCGGGGGCAUCAGUAUUCAGUUGUCAGAGGUGAAAUUCUUGGAUUUACUGAAGACUAACUACUGCGAAAGCAUUUGCCAAGGAUGUUUUCAUUAAUCAGUGAACGAAAGUUAGGGGAUCGAAGACGAUCAGAUACCGUCGUAGUCUUAACCGUAAACUAUGCCGACUAGGGAUCGGGCGAUGUUCUUUUUCUGACUCGCUCGGCACCUUACGAGAAAUCAAAGUUUUUGGGUUCUGGGGGGAUUAUGGUCGCAAGGCUGAAACUUAAAGAAAUUGACGGAAGGUCACCACCAGGCGUGGAGCCUGCGGCUUAAUUUGACUCAACACGGGGAAACUCACCAGGUUCAGAUGAAAUAAGGAUUGACAGAUUGAGAGCUCUUUCUUGAUUUUUCAGGUGGUGGUGCAUGGCCGUUCUUAGUUCGUGGGGUGACUUGUCUGCUUAAUUGCGAUAACGAGCGAGACCUUACUCUGCUAAAUAGCCAGGCUAGCUUUGGCUGGUCGCCGGCUUCUUAGAGAGACUAUCAACUCAAGUUGAUGGAAGUUUGAGGCAAUAACAGGUCUGUGAUGCCCUUAGAUAUUCUGGGCCGCACGCGCGCUACACUGACAGAGCCAACGAGUUCUUUCCCUUGGCCGAAAGGUCUGGGUAAUCUUGUUAAACUCUGUCGUGCUGGGGAUAAAGCAUUGCAAUUAUUGCUUUUCAACGAGGAAUGCCUAGUAAGCGCGUGUCAUCAGCAUGCGUUGAUUACGUCCCUGACCUUUGUACACACCGCCCGUCGCUACUACCGAUUGAAUGGCUCAGUGAGGCCUUCGGACUGGCUCGGGGAGGUUGGCAACGACCACCCCAAGCCGGAAAGUUGGUCAAACUCG